rnacentral:rRNA from 1 species
CCACCAGCAGGCUUUGCCAAAAUCCAUGUCGAUGCGGGAGUUGCACGGCAUAAUAGGGGAGGAACAGCGACGGCAAUCUGCAGGGAUGACAGUGGCAAUUACCUGGGCAGCUCAGCUUUGGUAAUCCCAGGAGUGUGUGAUGUGGCAACUUUGGAAGCUCUCGCUUGCCGGGAAGCACUCACGCUCGCUGAAGAUCUGCAUAUUCAUCAGUUUAUCAUAGCUUCAGAUUCAAGAGAAGUGAUCAACGACAUAAACAAAAGCUACAGAGGGAAGAAUGGUGCAAUCAUCUCAGAGAUUAACCUCCGAGCUUCUGGUUUUAAUUGUUCUUUUACUUUCAAAGGACGGCAGCCGAACGGCGAUGCCCAUAGAAUAGCUAGAUCAUCACUUUCUUUACAGCAGGGGCGCCAUCUUUGGCUUGUUUAUCCCCAUGCAAAUUGUAUUCCACAAACUGUGGCUUUUGAUCAAUAA